ACACAUUUCUUCAGACAGGUUGGCAGAGUAAUUUGAAUGACUAUGAUGUGACACACAGACUGGAWGUCUUCCUCCUUCCUCCUUCAAGAGCGGCACCAAAAACACUUCACUAUCCGCUUCCAAUGAACUUUUAAAGCUUCACAUUCAGUGCAAAGUACCAUGAAUGUAUGACCUUUGUUGCAUAUUGCUGUCAGUGCUGUUUGAUGUUUUGAAAUAAA